rnacentral:lncRNA from 1 species
CCACGUUGAUCCGCUAACUGUGUUCCCAGGAAACGUUGGAAAUCUGUGUUCCCUGUGAUGAUGCCUCCUGUGUUCUUCGGAGCCUCCCUAAACAAAAUUCAAUCAUUUUAAUUAUACACACGUGUAUAUGAUUCUCGACGAUGGCGUAGGUGUAUGAGAAUUUCUGUACGCAUCUCGACUGGUUACUAAGCUUCCGGUCAACGAACCUGCAGGGCUUAUCGAGGACGUCUGGCCUGCAGGAAUAUUCGAAGAACCUCUGAGCAUUUUCGCCGUCUCGAUAGAGCUCAACAUACAUGUCUUGCCGAUUUCGGCCGCCAACGGGCUCGACCAUUUCCUCUAUCGUUGGACAACAGUCGACUGCGAGGCCAUCUUCGCCUCCCUCCUGGCGUAGAACCAUCUGCAUCUCUCGGCUCCAUGACUACGAUGAGCAACCGUGAUAAUAGGAGAAGGGCGUCCAUUCGGCAAUAUCUCCUUUCGUGGCUAAAAACCUUUCUGGAUUCUCUAGAAGCAUACAUGUAAGAAGAAGAAAAAGAGCUAGAGUGGAGAAAGAGAAAAGGAGAGAGAGAGAGAGAGAGAGAGAGAUCGAACCUUAUGCAAAUGCAGCUGAGUACAAACGAUCCUGUGAAAUCUUUACAAGUAUGGCUUAACUUUAACUUACCAUAAGCUAUCAUCAAGGAUCGCGGAGAGUUCGCGUGGGUAGAGACACGAUAGAUGGUCUGGGAUAUACUCGUACACUACGGUGCUUUUGAAAUCGAUAUAGUGGCAAAGCUUUGCUAGAAAAUAUGGAAUAAAUCAUGGAAACGGAAUACGUCGUGAAGGUAAACACGAAUGGGAAUAAUCGUAAAAGAUCUAGUGGUAUCGUUUCGCGACUAGUUUCGGUAUCGGAAUGCAGUAUCGCUCCUACGAUCUCUCUCAUCUCGAAAAACGGGAUCACAUUUUACAGCUGCUGUUGCGCUACAUCCUGCUGGUGCUGUUGCCUGUUAGGUUCUCCAACCACGCAGAAAAGAAGAAUUUUCCAGGAAACGCGUGGAUGAUUUAAAGAGCAAUUGUCGAUCGUCGGAUGGGACAAUUUCUCGGGAAUUAUCGUCUCAAAACGAUGGAUAAAACACCGAAGGAAUAAACUCGGACCACCUUUAAAUGGUUUCCCAGUUUGAUGACUCUCAUUAAUGGUAUUUAUAGGUCCUUGGGGGAAAAGGUACUUGCCCGUUAAUUUAUGAAAAUGUAUGUUAAACAUUAAGAAGACCACCAUCAGAAAGAUUGCAUCGAGUUGCGAAGCUCACGUGAGACUCAUCUUUAGAAAUAUUCCAACGAUCCAGGUACAACCGUUUCAAAGUUUGUCGAUUAAUUAAGAACCGCUUUCGAGGAAGGGCGACACCUUGUCUCGAUAAACUUUCGUUGCCACAUUUACGAUAAUAAUUUUCUUACACAUUCGCAUUAUACAAAUUUUAGAUACGAGUUUUAUUUUUGUAUAAAAAGAUUCUCUCUCUGUUUUUUUUUUUCUGUGAUCGGUCAAAAUUAUUACAUCUGUCGAUCGAAAACUGGUGUUCCAUGUAAAUGAUUUUGUUUGUUUGUGUGUGUGUGUGUAUUAAUACGUUCGAUAACAAAUUAUUAAAAAAGAAAAAGAAAACUUUCUCGACAAUAAAUAUAAGGAACGAAUCGAAUCGAAUCUAUCGUAAAGAUAAACGAUCUAAUUAGCAAUAAAUGUUUAUAUGCUUAUGAAUAUUUACAGUCCCCUCCCGCCUACCUCCUCCCCCUAUCGACAACGAUUUUUUAUUUUAUAUGCUGUCACAUGUGGCCUACGUCAAUUCGUAACACCGGUUAUUUUAACAUGCUUUAAAAUAUCGGAUUAGAACGUGAAUUAUACUAACGAAAGAAAAAUGCAAUAAAAGAAACUACGAUUUAGUUUAAGCCUUUUAAUGAAUCGUAAUGUUAAAGUAAUUUAAAAUUUAUACGAGUCAAGGAAAAGAAACCAUACACGUUCUUAGAAAUUCAUUUAUAGUUAAAAAAACGAAAUAAAAAUGUGUGUGUGUGUAUGUUAUACUUACCCGACAGAUCGGAAGAAGAAAACUUGGUUCACAUGUAAAACGGGGGGAGAGGGAUGGGGAUGUCCUCUAAUGUAAAUCAGUCGACAAGGUCGAGAAAAACUAACUCGAAUUUGAACUCACGAGGCUGCUUGUUUUACGAGUUGAAAACUACGACGGGAGAACCCGUAUUUGUAAGCUCUCCGGUUCGUUUCCCUAAACAGAAUAACACGUGGUCGAAGAAAAGUUUUGUGAGAAGGGAAGGAAGGAAGGAA